rnacentral:lncRNA from 1 species
CUUCACUAGGAGCCUUGGUUGUUAGCUCCCAGGUCUGGGUGCCUGCAGCCGGCGUGAGCAGCUUGUACCUAGCGCGCGUCUGCAGUGACAGUGCAGCGAAGGGAGGCUGGGCGCGGGCUCAAGCCAGGACCGGGAACGCAGGAGUCAUGACGGACACCAGCCACAAGAAAGAGGGCUUCAAGAAAUGUAGGAGCGCCACUUUCAGCAUCGACGGGUACAGCUUCACCAUCGUUGCAAAUGAAGCAGGAGACAAGAAUGCCAGACCACUUGCUCGCUUCUCCCGU